ACGCACGCAAGUGUGAAACUCAAAGGAAUUGACGGGGGCCCGCACAAGCGGUGGAGUAUGUGGUUUAAUUCGAUGCAACGCGAAGAACCUUACCAGGGUUUGACAUCCUGCGAAUCUUUUGGAAACGAGAGAGUGCCUUCGGGAACGCAGUGACAGGUGGUGCAUGGCUGUCGUCAGCUCGUGUCGUGAGAUGUUGGGUUAAGUCCCGCAACGAGCGCAACCCACGUCGUUAGUUGCCAGCAUUCAGUUGGGCACUCUAGCGAGACCGCCGGUGAUAAACCGGAGGAAGGUGUGGAUGACGUCAAGUCAUCAUGCCCCUUACAUCCUGGGCUACACACGUACUACAAUGCUACGGACAAAGGGCAGCAAACUCGCGAGAGCUAGCAAAUCCCAUAAACCGUGGCUCAGUUCAGAUCGUAGGCUGCAACUCGCCUACGUGAAGGAGGAAUCGCUAGUAAUCGCAGGUCAGCAUACUGCGGUGAAUACGUUCCCGGGCCUUGUACACACCGCCCGUCACACCAUGGAAGUUGGCCACGCCCGAAGCCGUUACUCCAACCCUUGUGGAGGAGGAUGUCGAAGGUGGGGCUGAUGACUGGGGUG
rnacentral:rRNA from 1 species